UUGAGUCAUACGACAAAAAUUAAAAGGGAAAGUUAGCCUAAAAACUUUGGUAUUAUAUAAGCGAACUAUUAGAGUGAGGUGAGAUAAGACUGAGUACAUCAAAGAUAUAUGUUAAUGAAAUCCAAUUUAUAGAACUAUCGAAUUGUCGGAAAUUUUUCUUAAAAGUUAAUCUAAAGUGCGAGGAGUGAAACACGUAUAGCUUCCCUUCAACGAAGGGUUUUUUUCUUGGGUUUAGGCCCCUAGGGCUUGAGGCUCGGACUGGUAUCUUGUCCGGAAUCACCGAUCUCACCAAUAUCCGAUUCUGAACCAAGAGUCUCGCCCUCUCGAUUUUCCGCUAACCUGGCGCACCAUCAUCCAUUUAUAUCUCGGUGAGCCACCGGGGUACCCAUCUCAAGACACAGAGAGAGGAACUCACACUAGUUGUCGCCGCUGGACAGUUCCACAGCAGGGUACACCUCCAU